CCUACGGGGAGCAGCAGUGAGGAAUAUUGGUCAAUGGGCGCGAGCCUGAACCAGCCAAGUAGCGUGAAGGAUGACUGCCCUACGGGUUGUAAACUUCUUUUAUAAAGGAAUAAAGUGAGGAACGUGUGCCUUUUUGUAUGUACUUUAUGAAUAAGGAUAGGCUAACUCCGUGCCAGCAGCCGCGGUAAUACGGAGGAUACGAGCGUUAUCCGGAUUUAUUGGGUUUAAAGGGAGCGUCGAUGGGUUGUUAAGUCAGGUGUGAAAGGUUGCGGCUCAACCGUAAAAUUGCAAUUGAUACUGGCAGUCUUGAGUACAGUUGAGGUAGGCGGAAUUCGUGGUGUAGCGGUGAAAUGCUUAGAUAUCACGAAGAACUCCGAUUGCGAAGGCAGCUUUCUAAACUGCCACUGACAUUGAUGCUCGAAAGUGUGGGUAUCAAACAGGAUUAGAUACCCCUGUAGUC
rnacentral:rRNA from 1 species